rnacentral:rRNA from 1 species
GUGGGGAAUCUUGGGCAAUGGGCGCAAGCCUGACCCAGCCAUGCCGCGUGUGUGAAGAAGGCCUUCGGGUUGUAAAGCACUUUCAGUCGUAAAGAAAAGCUCUAGAUUAAUACCUUAGAGUCUUGACGUUAGCGACAGAAGAAGCACCGGCUAACUCCGUGCCAGCAGCCGCGGUAAUACGGAGGGUGCAAACGUUAAUCGGAAUUACUGGGCGUAAAGCGCGCGUAGGCGGUUUGGUAAGUGGGAUGUGAAAGCCCCGGGCUUAACCUGGGAACUGCAUUCCAAACUGUCAGACUAGAGUUUGGUAGAGGGAGGUGGAAUUUCCUGUGUAGCGGUGAAAUGCGUAGAUAUAGGAAGGAACACCAGUGGCGAAGGCGGCCUCCUGGACCAAAACUGACGCUGAGGUGCGAAAGCGUGGGGAGCAAACAGGAUUAGAAACCCUUGUAGUCC